GAUGAACGCUGGCGGCGUGCCUAAUACAUGCAAGUCGAGCGAACGGACGAGAAGCUUGCUUCUCUGAUGUUAGCGGCGGACGGGUGAGUAACACGUGGAUAACCUACCUAUAAGACUGGGAUAACUUCGGGAAACCGGAGCUAAUACCGGAUGAUAUUUUGAACCGCAUGGUUCAAAAGUGAAAGACUGUCUUGCUGUCACUUAUAGAUGGAUCCGCGCUGCAUUAGCUAGUUGGUAAGGUAACGGCUUACCAAGGCAACGAUGCAUAGCCGACCUGAGAGGGUGAUCGGCCACACUGGAACUGAGACACGGUCCAGACUCCUACGGGAGGCAGCAGUAGGGAAUCUUCCGCAAUGGGCGAAAGCCUGACGGAGCAACGCCGCGUGAGUUAUGAAGGUCUUCGGAUCGUAAAACUCUGUUAUUAGGGAAGAACAUAUGUGUAAGUAACUGUGCACAUCUUGACGGUACCUAAUCAGAAAGCCACGGCUAACUACGUG
rnacentral:rRNA from 1 species